GUAGUUGAUCCGUGCACGAGACGAACGCUGGCGGCGUGCUUAACACAUGCAAGUCGAACGGUGAAGGUCAGCUUGCUGACCGGAUCAGUGGCGAACGGGUGAGUAACACGUGAGCAACCUACCCUUCACUCUGGGAUAAGCCUUGGAAACGAGGUCUAAUACCGGAUACGAGACGCACGGGCAUCUGUAGCGUCUGGAAAGAUUUAUCGGUGGGGGAUGGGCUCGCGGCCUAUCAGCUUGUUGGUGGGGUAAUGGCCUACCAAGGCGACGACGGGUAGCCGGCCUGAGAGGGCGACCGGCCACACUGGGACUGAGACACGGCCCAGACUCCUACGGGAGGCAGCAGUGGGGAAUAUUGCACAAUGGGCGCAAGCCUGAUGCAGCGACGCCGCGUGCGGGAUGACGGCCUUCGGGUUGUAAACCGCUUUCAGCAGGGAAGAAGCGCAAGUGACGGUACCUGCAGAAGAAGCGCCGGCUAACUACGUG
rnacentral:rRNA from 1 species